UGCUGCCGCCCCCAGACCUGCCCUAAGACUGUCUAGUGGGGCUCUGUUGGUCAUUAAAUGUUUUCCAUGCUUUUUCCUCCGUAGAGUUCACCAGAGGUUCAUUUCUGCCCAGCAGAGAAGUGCCAAAGCCAUCCCUGCCACACUGAGCUCAUGAACUUCAGGCCCCAAGAGGAGGAAAUGUUCUGUCCUCGCCUUGGUGUCCGCGUGCAUGUGCACAGCGUGGAGCGCUGCGACAUAUUUAACAGACACUGGCUUUUGACAAAUGAGCCGACCGCCUUCUAUCACUCAAGAAUACUGCUGGUUUCAAUGGAGAGGCUUGCACUCUAGCCCUUAAGUACACCGUUUACUCAGCAACACAUGAUCAUAUAUAUACGUGUGUG